rnacentral:rRNA from 1 species
AGUUGAACAAACAAUUUCCCGUCGGAUCAUUAAAGUUAAGCAACGUUCCGCAUUGUUGGUAUCCGGAUGGGUGACCAUCUGGGCAACCGCGUGCUGUUGGCU